AGGACGAACGCUGGCGGCGUGCUUAACACAUGCAAGUCGAACGAUGAACCUGGAGCUUGCUCUGGGGGAUUAGUGGCGAACGGGUGAGUAACACGUGAGUAACCUGCCCUUGACUCUGGGAUAACCUCCGGAAACGGAAGCUAAUACCGGAUAUGACGUACGGAGGCAUCUCCUGUGCGUGGAAAGAAUUUUGGUCAAGGAUGGACUCGCGGCCUAUCAGGUAGUUGGUGAGGUAACGGCUCACCAAGCCUACGACGGGUAGCCGGCCUGAGAGGGUGACCGGCCACACUGGGACUGAGACACGGCCCAGACUCCUACGGGAGGCAGCAGUGGGGAAUAUUGCACAAUGGGCGCAAGCCUGAUGCAGCAACGCCGCGUGAGGGAUGACGGCCUUCGGGUUGUAAACCUCUUUUAGUAGGGAAGAAGCGAAAGUGACGGUACCUGCAGAAAAAGCACCGGCUAACUACGUGCCAGCAGCCGCGGUAAUACGUAGGGUGCAAGCGUUGUCCGGAAUUAUUGGGCGUAAAGAGCUCGUAGGCGGUUUGUCGCGUCUGCUGUGAAAACCCGAGGCUCAACCUCGGGCCUGCAGUGGGUACGGGCAGACUAGAGUGCGGUAGGGGAGAAUGGAAUUCCUGGUGUAGCGGUGGAAUGCGCAGAUAUCAGGAGGAACACCGAUGGCGAAGGCAGUUCUCUGGGCCGUAACUGACGCUGAGGAGCGAAAGCGUGGGGAGCGAACAGGAUUAGAUACCCUGGUAGUCCACGCCG
rnacentral:rRNA from 1 species